CCUACGGGAGGCAGCAGUAGGGAAUAUUGCUCAAUGGGGGAAACCCUGAAGCAGCAACGCCGCGUGGAGGAUGAAGGUUUUAGGAUUGUAAACUCCUUUUGUGAGAGAAGAUAAUGACGGUAUCUCACGAAUAAGCACCGGCUAACUCCGUGCCAGCAGCCGCGGUAAUACGGGGGGUGCAAGCGUUACUCGGAAUCACUGGGCGUAAAGAGUGCGCAGGCGGGCUUGUAAGUCAGAUGUGAAAUCCUGUAGCUUAACUACAGAACUGCAUUUGAAACUAUGAGUCUAGAGUGUGGGAGAGGUAGGUGGAAUUCUUGGUGUAGGGGUAAAAUGCGUAGAUAUCAAGAGGAAUACUCAUUGCGAAGGCGACCUACUGGAACAUUACUGACGCUCAUGCACGAAAGCGUGGGGAGCAAACAGGAUUAGAUACCCCUGUAGUC
rnacentral:rRNA from 1 species